AGCCCAGAGCCUGAAUCAGUGUGUGUGUUAGUGGAAGCGUCUGGAAAGGCGCGCGAUACAGGGUGACAGCCCCGUACACAAAAAUGCACAUGCUGUGAGCUCGAUGAGUAGGGCGGGACACGUGGUAUCCUGUCUGAAUAUGGGGGGACCAUCCUCCAAGGCUAAAUACUCCUGACUGACCGAUAGUGAACCAGUACCGUGAGGGAAAGGCGAAAAGAACCCCGGCGAGGGGAGUGAAAAAGAACCUGAAACCGUGUACGUACAAGCAGUGGGAGCACGCUUAGGCGUGUGACUGCGUACCUUUUGUAUAAUGGGUCAGCGACUUAUAUUCUGUAGCAAGGUUAACCGAAUAGGGGAGCCGAAGGGAAACCGAGUCUUAACUGGGCGUUAAGUUGCAGGGUAUAGACCCGAAACCCGGUGAUCUAGCCAUGGGCAGGUUGAAGGUUGGGUAACACUAACUGGAGGACCGAACCGACUAAUGUUGAAAAAUUAGCGGAUGACUUGUGGCUGGGGGUGAAAGGCCAAUCAAACCGGGAGAUAGCUGGUUCUCCCCGAAAGCUAUUUAGGUAGCGCCUCGUGAAUUCAUCUCCGGGGGUAGAGCACUGUUUCGGCAAGGGGGUCAUCCCGACUUACCAACCCGAUGCAAACUGCGAAUACCGGAGAAUGUUAUCACGGGAGACACACGGCGGGUGCUAACGUCCGUCGUGAAGAGGGAAACAACCCAGACCGCCAGCUAAGGUCCCAAAGUCAUGGUUAAGUGGGAAACGAUGUGGGAAGGCCCAGACAGCCAGGAUGUUGGCUUAGAAGCAGCCAUCAUUUAAAGAAAGCGUAAUAGCUCACUGGUCGAGUCGGCCUGCGCGGAAGAUGUAACGGGGCUAAACCAUGCAC
rnacentral:rRNA from 1 species